rfam:Pichia guilliermondii ATCC 6260 scaffold_3 genomic scaffold, whole genome shotgun sequence.
GUCGACGUACUUCAUAGGAUCAUUUCUAUAGGUCACGUCCCUCUUUGACUCUUCAAAAGAGCCACUGAAUCCAACUUGGUUGAUGAGUGAGAUACCCUUACACCCUCAAAGUGAGACUAUAUUUAGCUUGACUGUGAUCCUUAGCGGUCUGGUCAUCUACCUAUUUUUUGCCUUUUAGUUAUAAGACUUGGAUUUAUCCUGUGUCUUUUAAAAGGAGCGAUGAUCUUGACCCCUUUCUUCAUACUUCUUCGGAGGUUUUAGAUUGGGGUGGGUGUAAGUGGCUGUCUGACAAGU